UGAGGAAUAUUGCACAAUGGGGGCAACCCUGAUGCAGCAACGCCGCGUGGAGGAUGAAGGUCUUAGGAUUGUAGACUCCUUUUUUCGGGGAAGAGCGAGGACGGUACCCGAAGAAUAAGUCACGGCUAACUACGUGCCAGCAGCCGUGGUAAUACGUAGGUGGCGAGCGUUAUCCGGAAUUACUGGGCGUAAAGCGCACGCAGGCGGCUCCAUAAGUCUGACGUGAAAGCUCCUGGCUUAACUGGGAGAGGGUCGUUGGAGACUGUAGGGCUUGAGGUAAGGAGAGGGGUGCAGAAUUCCCGGUGUAGUGGUGGAAUGCGUAGAUAUCGGGAGGAAUACCAGUGGCGCAAGCGGCGCCCUAGCCUUGACCUGACGCUCAUGUGCGAAAGCGUGGGGAGCGAACGGGAUUAGAUACCCCGGUAGUCCACGCCGUAAACGAUGAACACUGGGUGUGGGUGGAGUGAAAUCCAUCUGUGCCGAAGCCAACGCGCUAAG
rnacentral:rRNA from 1 species